rnacentral:lncRNA from 1 species
ACGUAUACGCGACAGUGUCGGUCAACUUCCAACUAGCUUUCCACCGAAUGUUGUUCGCGUGUUUAUCCGCUUGACUCUUUUUUUAACAAUUUUAGUGCAUACGCUGUUCAACUGUACACGGUUGGGUAAAAGUAAUCGCAGCACAGUCGGGUGGAGGAUGAUUCUGCGUGAAAAAAUAUGUCGAAAACGUGGAAUAACAUUUUUGUAUAUCACGCUUGGUUGCUGAGAAAAUCGGAUCUGAAAAUUCGUCAAGUAUAUUUCAACUUGGCUAAUUAUCGACCAGGGUUGUUGGACACGGUAUAUAUCCCGUCGUCGUUCCGGUAAUAAAGUUGGAAAUCUCUGGGUUUGAGGAGCAAACGCCGUGCCACUAGAAGCACCGGCUUCUCUAAUCCUCGUCUCGGCUUGUUCAAGAGGCAAAGAAGACGAAGAAGCGGCGUUGCUGGCAAGGGUUUUUCUCAAAAAGCCGUCUAAGAUGAAGAGGAUCGCUUGGAAUAUUCACCGAUAUUGCCGUCACUGGUAUAACACCGUCUUUCUCCGUUUUCCAGCGUCGUGGAAUAAUUUUCAAAAUACAAUGAGCAUCUUGGAUGAAGAAUAAACCAUCAAACCAUAAACCAUAGACCAAAUAGACCAUCAAACGAAUGCGAUUUUACCUUUUUAUUUUGUUCUUUUGUGUUUGAUCGAGAGGAUCGCCGGCGUUCGAAAGAACGAAACUUUCGAUAAAUUGCAUUCGAUUUAGAUGCGACGUACGAUGUGACGUUUGAAAUGUUCUUUGAGCACUGCGAGUUUUCGGGACAUUUCAAGGCAGAAACGCGGCAGCUGAUUGGUCAUUGAUUAGAGGCUCGGCACACGCGGUGUAACCUUGAAAAAAGGAGAAAAACGACUAGUUCGUUCGACUGCAAGCGAUGCAAUCGCCAUCGUAAGAUGUAAAACGGACGGGGCAUGAAAAAUCGUCGCGUGGAAGGUCUAUCGAUCUGCAAAGUACCACGAAAGAAUUCCGGGUCGCUCGAAAAUCCGACCGGACGUCAUCGAAAACGGCCGAUGUGACUGCAGCUUUCGGAAAAAUUCCUAACCGGAAAUGCGAAAUGCAGCGCACGAGCAUGAAACUGGAAGGAAGAAAUAAUACGCGGUUCUUCAGGCUGUAUGCAGCAGCCGAGGGGGAAAUGAGGUAAAUUCCUCGAGGGGAAUACGCAAUCGCGAGAACCGUGCGAACUCCACGAGUAUUGUAGUCGUCGCCGUGCAACCUGCAACGUUUAAAUGUGUCGUUAACGCGCUCGUGCACGAACGCGGUUCGCCUCUUUCCGAAGGUCAUUGUUUGCCGACGCGGCAACGGAACGAAAGUUUCAAAAGCUAGAGCCAUCGAAACGUCGAACGCGAUAUUUAUCGCGAACUGGAGAUCGUAACGUAGUAACGUUAUGCGAGCGAAUUUCUCGGCACGAGAUUUAAAGGCUCGCAGUGUCGUGUUUCGCGGAGUACAGCGUAACGACUACGGCCAAUUUAGCAGCGCUGUUUCGAAGCCAACAGCGAGGAAUCCGAGACAGGCGCACGUUCGUGAAAAUAUGGUUAUAGCUGGGAAAAGUUGAGCGCGUACGGUCGAACAAUACGCGCGCUAAAGUUGGAAAAUGCAAGUGGAACGACACGCGACGCCCAGCACAAUGACGUUGGUAAAGACGAUCGCGUCGUCCAGCUUUUCUUUGCUGCAUCGCGCAAAACAUCAUAUAUAUGUCGAGUUAUCGUUAAGUUUAGGGGCGUGUAACGAAUCUUCAUUCAGACUAGCCAUCGUUGUUGUAUAAUAGAAAUUACAUUUACUGGUAUAAAUACGAUUUUUACAGAGUUUGACAAAUAACCGUGAUGAUUACACAUUCGAGAUGUUAAUGACAAUAAUCUUAGGUUCAAUAACGAAUCCACAGUCAACGGGGUAACUCUUUGUUAAACGUAGAAUAUAUUUUGAAGCACAUAGUAACGCUCGGUAUAUACUGCACGUAAAGACGAUGUGUAACUCUCCAAGGAGAUCGCAAGAAUAAAAGAUUGAUGACUUUCCUCUCCUUACGAUCGCGUUCGUUUCUAGUAUAUUGGUCGGGGAUACCAACAAAAUUCUUGGCAUAAAAAAUAUUGGCACUUCUCUGUUAGGUAAAAACGUCCAUCCCGUGACGGUGGCUACGUUCAGCGACCAGUUGUGUCACCUCGAGCCCAAACCCACUGUCACAAAUCUCGGGCAUAAUACAUAUAAUAUAAUACAUAUGUAGUAACUAAAAUGGGUUUUAGAGGAAAGGACAAGUAAUGAUGUUACAUGUAUCUAAUUGUUUUGAAAGAUACCAUACAGUUGAAGACUACUAAUUUUCAUUAAAUUAACUAAGUAUUAAUUUACAAAUUGCUAGUGAUUCAUUAUCCAUUUUGAAAUAAUAAAUAGUUUUUGUUAACCGAUCAAUUGAUCAUGAUUACGUCCUAGACGUCUUAAAAACGCUAUUUAUCUUCAAACGUUGUUUAUUAUUUCACAAUUCUUUUUGUAGUCUCUAAAUAUACAUGUCAUAAGAAGUAUACAUCUUGCGCCAGUUCGGGCACACGACCGAAUAGAUGGCACGGCGCGCGAUCGAACUUCUUGCUUACUAUGGCUCGCACGAUCGACAGAUGGCGUGUAGGGUUAAAUAAUAAAACUUAGAAGUAGUUGUUUAUCAUUUAAUCCGAUUAUGUGUGCUCGAGAUUUAUGACAGUAGGCUUGGACUCGAAGCGACACAUCUGGUCGCUAAACGUAGCCACGGUCACGAGAUGGACGUUUUUGCCAGAAAGAGGUACGACGUAGUUGUAUAGCUCUCCUGAGAAAGAUAGUUCAGUUUUGAUUUCGACUUUGGACAAGUAAGUGAACGCAUUUGCUAUCCUGUUGACUAUGUAUUCGUUAUUGAACCUAAGAUUAUUGUCAUUAGCAUCUCGAGUAUCUAAUCGUCACGGUUAAUUGUCAAAUUCUGUAAUAGUCGUAUAGUCACCUUGUGAAUUUAUUAUUAUAUUCAUUGAGUGACUAAGUAAUCAUUGUUAUUAUAAGUCUUUAGUGAGAAGUUAUUAUUGUGUAGUGAAAUGGAUUAUUGCUAGUGAACUUUAUUCUGUAAUAAUCAUAUUUGUAUCAUUAACUAUCAUCUAUAUGAUAUAAUACAAAAUGGCUAAUCCAAAUGAAGGUUCGUUAAACGUCCCUAACCUCAGUGCGGGCUCGACACAUAUAUAUAUGUAAAUUCUACAGAAUUCAAACUACCCACCAACCGACAUUUUUACUUUCGCUUUGUUUUACCGGCAGCCAUUUUACUGGAUAGAUAAGAUCACGAGAGAAGAACGGUUAUUUAGGACUUGGAAAAUCGAGAAUCGAUUUUCCAGGUAAAGUUUCUAGUUGAUUUGUUAUUAACACGUUGAAUGCCAUGGGGUUGACUGGUGACCAGCAUUCGCCGUGGGGGUCACCGAUGACCCGCGCAACAAGAUUAGUAAAAAUACAUAAUUUGAACAAAUGUCAAUAGUUAUAAAUUUGUUAUUAUUACCUUCGUUACUACAAUGGUGUGACGAAAUUAAUGCAGUAUAAAACAUAUAAAAAUAGUUUUAUUUAUACAUGAAAUAUAGAUCUACUAUGUGCACCCCCCACCAGUGGCUGUCGAACAUGGGAAAAAACCCGCUUUUCCCGUGUUUUACCUUAACGAACAAUAACACUAAGCAACGUUUCGACUUGAAAGAUGUUUGAUGAUAAUUAAUGGCUUUGACGGUAAAGUAAAAAAUGCUGAAUCUUGUGACGGUUCUUUGGAAUUAUUGCGGGUCCGAAUAAGUAUGAUCGAUGGAUGGAUUAUGGUUUAUGGAAGGUCCCGGGACGUAACAACAUAGGGCAAUUAUUUACCAACGCGAACAAACAAUAUGAGAUAAUUGAUAAUCGCAAAAAAUAAGUGAAUCGAGCGAAAUUGCAGUACAGCGCGAUGGGGGUCACCGGUGACCCCAGUGAGAUAAAUUCAUUAAUGAUGAUUAUACACCGCAACAUAUCUCUUGCAGGUAAUAUUUCAACAUUAUAUGUAUCGCAUAAUAAAAAAUUCAUCGUGGCGCCACGGCCGAAUUUUGUAAAACUGGCGUGGCAUUCAACGUGUUAAUUGUUAUUUUAUAGAAUUUAAUUUAUUCCCAAAAUAAACUCGAUUUUCCAGAAUCGAUUGUUACAUCUCCCCCCAAGGAUUUACGUUAUUACAUAUAUAUAUAUCAGAGAUGAAAUGACAUCGGGGCCUUUCUUUUGAAAUUUUUGAGAAGAUCCCCAAAACUUUAGUCUAGACUAUUUAUUAUAGCUGUACUUAAAUAAUAAAACUUAGAAGUAAUUGUUAUGAUUCAAUCCGAUUAUGUUUGCCCGAGAUUUAUGACAGUAAGCUUGGGCUCGAGGUGACACAACUGGUCGCUGAACGUAGCCACCGUCACGGGAUGGACGUUUUUACCUAACAGAGAAGUGCCAAUAUUAUGGGACACACGUUGUAUUAACAAUCAAACCCCGGGCAGAAACAACGUCGUAACUACGCGGGACUGCUUAGCAACGGCGGCUGGAAUUUUGUUGGUAUCCCCGACCAAUAUACUAGAAACGAACGCGAUCGUAAGGAGAGGAAAGUCAUCAAUCUUUUAUUCUUGCGAUCUCCUUGGAGGGUUACACAUCGUCUUUACGUGCAGUAUAUACCGAGCGUCACAGCGAACGUUACUUUGUGCUUCAAAAUAUAUUCUACGUUUAACAAAGAGUUACCCCGUUGACCGUGGAUUCGUUAUUAAACCUAAGAACAUUGUCAUUAACAUCUCGAGUGUCUAAUCACCACGGUUAUUUGUCAAACUCUGUAAAAAUCUUAUUUAUACCAGUAAAUGUAAUUUCUAU